rnacentral:lncRNA from 1 species
CACCGAUAAAUAGUGCACUCCGGAGGGCAUUGUGCACAUGCGACGCGAUGGAAACCUACAAACGAGUUUCUCGCGUCGUCUUUCCUCUCUGCCAC